rnacentral:rRNA from 1 species
GACGAACGCUGGCGGCGUGCUUAACACAUGCAAGUCGAGCGGUAAGGCCCUUUCGGGGGUACACGAGCGGCGAACGGGUGAGUAACACGUGGGUGACCUGCCCUUAGCUCUGGGAUAAGCCUGGGAAACUGGGUCUAAUACCGGAUAUGACUCCAUGACGCAUGUUGUGGGGUGGAAAGCCUUGUGCGGCUAGGGAUGGGCCCGCGGCCUAUCAGCUUGUUGGUGGGGUGAUGGCCCACCAAGGCGACGACGGGUAGCCGGCCUGAGAGGGCGACCGGCCACACUGGGACUGAGACACGGCCCAGACUCCUACGGGAGGCAGCAGUGGGGAAUCUUGCGCAAUGGGCGAAAGCCUGACGCAGCGACGCCGCGUG